GGCAUGGCGCGCCUUGAUUCUCUAACAAACAAGGUUUCUAAAUUAGCUCAUAAGGGCCAUAAAUUAUACAAUUGGCUAAUAUGGCACACCUCAACUCAUUUUUAAAAAUCUAGUUAAUUAAGGAGAAACCUAAAGGCAUUCAAAAUACCUUCUAUUCUAAAAGUUCGAACUAAAUCAGCUACACAUGGGCGUCUUAUUAAACAAACAAUUACCUAAAGAGACAUUACUUCCUCAACAACCCAAACAAACGAGAGAACCGAGCCAACAGAGCAAAACAAACCUAAAUGAUACAAAGUACAUAGUU
rnacentral:lncRNA from 1 species